AUUCUUUCUUUUCCUUCUCCUGAUUGUGGAUGCUGAGGAAAGGUUCCAUUGCAAAGAGAAAAAGACUGCUGAGAUGCCUUGAGCCAUUUCUUUGAUGUGGAGAUUGUGAGAACAAAUAAACUGGCCUUACAGUUCCUCUGAAAUCAGUGAAAUGAGAGAUGUCCAAAGUGAAUGUGUUCUUGGUGGCUGCAGAAGAAGCACAGCUGUUUUGGAAUAGCUGGAGUGUAGCUCACUUCAGAAAUGCUUGUGUUUAAGGUAGUGCAAUGUGAAGAUGAAGAGAAGGAGUUGGCAGGGUCAGGGUGAAAAAUAAGGGAUUAAGUAGAUCUUUUUCCUUCUGCUUGGAUGUCACUACCAUAAAUCUCUGCUUGAUGAGGCUAAAUUUAGAGCCUUCAACCAUUCACAAUUCCUGGACCAGGUGUCAGACCUGUCACCAGAUGAUCAUCCUGUCCUGUGCAGCCUCUCUUCUGUGUGAAAGGAGGAGGGCUAGGAACCCUCUCAUGCUAAAAAAGUGCAAUUCUUGUAGCAAGAAAUUAAUGCCACCUCUGAAGUAGUAAUAAUCUCUGUAAAGUUUGCCCAGCAGAUGCCAGCAGUGAAUUAACACAGAGCUUGUGAAAAAUAAAAGGACUGGAAUAUAUAACUGUUUCAAAUGCUUCACUGUUUAAUGAUUACUUAAAAUAGUUCAAAUUUUUCAAUUAAGAUUAAUUUUUACUGUGAAGAUCCUGAUUUUUUCCUCUCAAUCCCUGAGAGAAUAGUGUGUUAGGUUGUUUUUACACAAAUCAGAAAACAUCCAGAUUUACAAUUGGGCCACAGUGCAUAGUAAUGGCCUUUCAUUCAAAAGUGGGGUUUAAGUUACUUAUUUUAAAGAUGUUCCUGGUUUAGCCUCUUCAUACCUUAUUUUUACCUGAUCUGUUCUCUUUCUGUUUACUGUCCCCAUCAGAAUAAGAGAAUAAUGCUUCUUGUUUACUGUCCUUUUCUGUUAUAAUUUUAAAUUUUACCUGACAUUAAGCUGUUCCUUUAUAUACUGGAGGGGAAAAAAUAUCUAAGUCAUAUGGUAUUAUCCUUCUCUUUCAUUUCACCAUCUGGAUUUCUGGAGCUCGAGCUGAAACCUGUCAACAUCUCUUGAUGCAAAGCAAAUAGACUUAGCUAAAAGGGAAGUUCAAGCUGGAGAAUCACCCUGUAGAAAGUUUAGAGCAGUUCAACACUGGAGGAAGGAAAUCAUCAUCUGUCAGAAGAGCCCCAUCCUGCCGAGAAGCCAUAGCUUUAGGUAUCUAAUGCUGUUCCUUUAAUCUCAUAUAUACUAUUUCAGUAGAAAUCAGACUUUGCUUUUAUUGAAGUUUAUUUUUGGUUUACUGUUUGCAAAGCUUAUGUUUCAAACACGAAGAAAAGGUCUAGUCUUUCAUAUCUGGGCUUCCUCAAUUUCAGAAAACUACAAGAAGGAUUUGUUACUCCAUGGUUCACCCCAUCAAUAACAAAAUUGAUACACAUAUGAUUUUAUGGCACUCAUAAUACAAGUUAAUUCCAGUUCAUUCUGAACUCUAAAGAAUGCAAUGAACAAUCCACAUAACUUUGUAGAUUAUGUAUCUCUUAAAUGCCUUGAAUUAAGGCACUAAAUAAUACAAAUAAACUAACACUGUCAUGUAACAAAGCAUUUGAAAGGCCUCAUGAUUUUGGCUUUUGUAUGGGAUCAUAAGCACUGAAAAAAAUGGAGCUAAUUACUAAUAUUUAUAUGUUACCCCUAAGAAAAUUACCACUUGAAACUCUAAGGACACACCGAAAAGUAAACUUGUGCAACAGGGGUUUGAUUGUUCAUUCCAAACAAUGAUCAUUAUAUGAGUCUAGAAUAUUACUUGUUAUUUUAUGUUCUUGGCAAUUAGUGUAUCUCAUUUAAAAUAUUUAUUUUUCCUUUUGGCUGAGUUUCUGUACAACACUGGAACAGUUGUCUUUAAAAUUAUGGUCUCUCAGGCAAAAUAAAUUAUGUCUUGGAAAUAUGUCAAGACUUUGAACUGAAGAUGAGAUUUCAAAACAGUUUGUGCAAAAAAUUAAACUCACUUUCCCUUUCAACUCAUCUUUCUACCUACUGCUUCUCUGGUGUUUCUCUCUUUAAAUCAAACAUAUGCUCUCUUUCUUUCUGACUGGAAGUCUUCCAAAGUUUGUGGGGAAAUCUAACAGGAAACCUUUCCAAAACAUAGGAAUCAGGACUUGUUCUUCCUGUGCAGAUAAAACCCUCAGAUGUGUUUAAAUUCAGACUAUCUAAAGCUGGAAAGCUGUAGUUGGUUUGGGGCAGUUUUUAAUUAAAAGGUAGAAUUUUGAUGGCUAUUUCUCACAUUAUGAUUUGAAUCAAGGAUUUUGCUUCACAGUAAAUAUUUCUUCCAGUAGGUUCCAGAUGUGUUAAUGAUUUGAGAUUUAUCCUAGUUUAAGUAUUUGUUUGAUUCUGAGGCUUCUUUAUCAGAUUAUCAGAUGGAAAUCAGUGCAGUGUAUGCUUUUAAUGAAAUUUUCUGUAUGGCUUUGAUUUGAAAACAUCUGUCCUUUGAGUUACAAAAUUAAUCCAGAAGAAAAGACCUAUACAUGGAAGAUAUGAUUUAAAUUCUUUCCCAGUAUAGGCUCAGAUUUUUCUGGUGUCCUGGAGUCUAAUUGCAUAUUUUAUGAAUUUAAUUUUUUCUUGUGUGACUAUUGAUAUACCACAGAAAUGGAAUCUUAGAAUAAUGCCAAUUCAUAGAAUUAGAAUUUUGUAGAAGUGUAAGAUCACAAGCUAAUUGAGCAAUGACUAAAAUGAUUAGCUGUAAUUAACUUUACAUUUCUUUCUGGUUUUCUUCCUUCAGGGAGAAUACAUUGGACAUUGUUACAUUACUUAUUCUUUCACUGAUUCCCUGGGAAAGUCAACCCACCCUGUUUAGCAGAAAUUUUUUGGGGAUUAUCAAGGAGCAGAGAUGAGCAAAAGCAGACAAGCAAACAAUGUACCAUCAACAAUAUUCCUAUUGUUAUUUGAAUGUGUUACUAAGAGGAGCUGCUGAGUUACUGUCCUAGUGUGGUAUUUGGUGGUUUCAUGUUUUGCAUGUACAACCAUUAUUAUUAAACCUUCCCUGUUUUCUAGACUAUGUUGAAUCCCUGCUCAACAAGGAGACACACAGAGGUAGAUGAUAAUCAUCUUUAGGACCUAACUAACACAUGCUGAAUUCAAGUUUUCCUCACAUCUUUUACACUAUUCUGCCAUGUAUUGGGAAACAGUCUGAUUUUAAUGAGACAGUCAUAGAAACUAAAACUAUCAAAUCAGUUAGAAGUUUUUAAUCCAGACGGAUAUACAGAUGUUGUCAGGGAUGCUAAAGCAUCCUGUGUAUUCAAAAUGGACUUUAAAAAUAGUGUGAAAAUACGCAGAAUUGGAGGCAUUGGGAGAAUGAAGAGUAAUUCAAAACAUGUUUCUGUUUCUUUUCUUCUCCCCACUCCCUUCCACAGAAAGAAGCAGCUCAGGAACAUGAUGAAAGAAAGAAGCACAAGUUGUGCUGGGAGAGGUAGGACCCCUUGUUUGUGGUUCUACCAAAGUGUGCCUGCAGCAAAGAAGUCUGAUCCACAUCCAGAUCUUAAGGUGAUACUUUCAAGAGGAGGUGUGACUUACCUCAGUGGAGAUGAAGAAUUCACUAUCUAGCUCUAAGUAUGGAUUUCCCAGAGAAAUUAUAUAUGCCAGACUUGCCUGGGCUCUUUGCUCUGGAAUCUAUUUUGUCUGAAGGAAAGAACUUUCUAAGACAGCACAAAGCUCUAAUUACCAACCUGACAGCUUCAAGGUUUUAUCUUGAUUUAAAUGCUAACUUGAUGAUCCUGUGAAAGCAGCAUUGUUCAUUACUGGGAAAUAAAGAACUUAACCUAUUGCCUGGUUGUUCUUUUAAAAUUGUAUUAAUUUGCCUAACCUGAAUUAAUGUCUUAUGCUUCUGCUAAAGAACUCUCUUUAUGAAAUGGCUUUUGUACUGUCCCUUUGUGAUCACAACAAAUGCUUAAUAUUCCUCUGUUUGUUGACUUUUGAUGUUCACCAAAUUAUUGGAAACAUUGGAAUAUUGGCACAUUAGAAAUAAGACAAUACUAGUUUAAAAAUACCCAAACCUUCAAGUACUUUUACGUGCUUUAAAUGAAAGAAAUUCUAAUCAGGCUGCAGCUAACAGAAAUGACAGACAACGUCUACUGGGAAACACAGAAGAAGAAUUUAGAAGUAAUUUUACUUUUAUUUUUAAUCACAGUAUGAAAAAUUACCUUUUACUUGAGAGGGAGGAGAAACAAAGUCAAGAAAUAAACAAAGGAAGGGCACAGCUCACAAUAAUGAAGUGGAGUAAGGUUCAAAGACUUACUUAUAUGCCAAAGACAGCAGGAAUAACUAGGCAGGAAGAGAGGAACAAAUAACUUUUUUUUUUUUUGAAAACCAGUUCUUUCCUAAUUGAAACUAUUUUCUUUGCUGAAGUGGAGAACCAAGAAGAAAUCAUCUCACUUUUGGAUAAAGCAUCUAAGACUAGUCCUAGCACUCCUCACAUGAAACAGUAACAGUCCUGUCCCACUUUUGUUCCUGAGCUCAGUACUCAGAACCACAUUGUGGGCUUUCCAGCUCUGAGUCUUUUCCCUGCCUUAGGAAGAGCUGAGCCUCUGCUGGUGUGUCCCAGGGACUCUCCUAGCAAGCAUUUUAUGAUGAACCACUGUGUCAUAUUGAGUCUGCUCUGCCCACAUAUUUAUCAGUGAGCAGAAAUGAGUUCCUAAUGUAUAAGUUAAGGCAUUCAUUUGGUAGAAAAUCUGGAUUCUAUUUGCUGCUGCCAUGGAUAUUUAAUUAUCUUAUGCAAAGCAGAGCAGCAGUAAAACAGACUAGAGACCACUAUGCACAAAAUAAUGGGGGGAAGAAGAGGGUGGUGAUGGUGAUGGGUUAGUGUACUUCUGGAAAGUGAUACAUUUGGGUUUUAAUCUUUCUUAGACAGGGGCAGGGAGCUGCUAUGGCUAGACUUUUCUCUCUAGAUAUUGCUGCAUGGAGAAUUGCAAAUGACUUUGUGAUGACUCAAGAUGCUCUCUGGUUUACCAAAAGCAGUUCAAGCAGACCAACAAUAAUCCUGUGCUCCAGUGUUAACUGUUCUAUUUUAUUUUUCUCAGUUCCUGACAGGCUGAGUGAGACAGUUCUUGCCCUUGCUUAUACUCUAGUCUCCUUGUUGGUGACAAGAUCACUCUACCAUUGAAGACAUGGUGUUAGGUGUCUCACUACAACUCCUUAUUUAUCAUGGUCAAUAGCUUCAAUAACCACAUCUUGAGAAAUUAGUACUGGAGGUAGAGAAUUCUAUCAACAAGUUUGAAUUGUAUCAGUAGGUUUUGUUGAAACCAGUAUUACCUUUCAUUGCACUUUCAUGGAACAAAUAACUUUGAUAGAAACAGAAUUAAGCAUUUUUCCCCAGUUACAUUCUCCCACUGAACAGGUUGCCCUCAGAGAUUUAAGUUCCUUUCUUUGAAUAUGAUUUAUUAGCCUUUUUAGUUUUAAGCUGGACUUUGGCCUUUCUGGUUUUCUCUCUGCAUACCCCCAUGAUAUCAUUGCAGUCUUCCUGAGUGCCAAAACAAAGGUGAAACAGAAAUCCUAGCAAAAAUUCUAAGCCAUUUCUGUAAUUUUUUUUUUAUAGUGAACUGUAGUUUGAAGGGAAGAGCUUCUAACUUUUUUUAACCUCAUUCUGGCACAUUCUGCUGAGCAUUUUCCUUUUCACAAAGGGGAGGGACCAGAAGCUCUGUCAUGAUGCUGAACUCAAGGCCCCAGUGGUACAGCCAUUGACACUUCUGCUCCCCUGUAUCACUGUGAGAGGCUCCUUGCUUGGUGAUGGAACCAUAUACUCAAUUUUGUUCCUGUACAUAUAGGAUUUGGUCCUAAAAAAUUUGUUUGCUGACACAGGUAGUUUAAGUAUUUAUUGUGGCUGAAGCUUUCAGUAAAGGGAAGACAAACCAACUGUUUGCAGAAUCUGGAUGCUUGAAGUUUAGUGCAGUCAUACCACUGAUAUAGCUGUGCAGCAGAAAGGUAUACAGAUUCAUUGAACAGCAGAAAGGUAUCCAGACACAUUGAAGAGCCUCUCAAAAAAGUAGCAUGAUACUAUGCUAAAAAUUCUAAUGUUUUUUAAGCACUCUGUGAAUACUUUAACCAUUUUUUGUCUGCUGAAAUGCAGACAGAUACAAAUUCAGUUUCACAGAAAACCUUCUUUGAAAUACAAAAGCCAUCAAAACAAAAGUGCCUAUACUUGAAUUCCUUUUGCCCUUUUACCUUUUGCAAAAAGGGUACAGGUACCAGCCACCACAAGCUAAAAGACCAUGCUAAGUUUAAUAAUUUAAACAGCUUCUUGAGAUAAAUUUAGUUUUUUAUGCUUUCUCUGUCAUGACUAUUAAUUGCACUUAAAUGUACCAUGUGUGGCUUACUACAGAAAAAAAUUUUAGAACAUUUUAUUACUUGAAUUUGAAAAUUAAGUCUAUUCCAAUGCAAAAACCUGCAAUCAUUAAAAUUGUUUUUUAUUGAGCCAAAUUUGAAGUAAAACACAUUUCUCAUUAUCUUAGUUUAGCAGAAUUACUUAUUGAUAUGAAUGCACAAAUCAAAUAAAAUUAAAUUUUGUAGCUUUGAGACAUAGUUGAAUGCUUGCUGCAUGUGCUUACAUAUUUGUCUCCCUCUUUUACGUCCUGUCCAGGGUCAAAACUAAAGAAAGGAAGACUCACUACUGGAUAGACAGGCUCUGGCUUUGAUCCAGCUGAAUUAACACUUAUAAGCAUCCACUUCACAGAAAUCAUUUCGGUAGUACCAUGGGUGUUUGGAAAUGUAAUACUCCAAGGCUUGAUUCUGUCCCUAGUCCAA